rnacentral:rRNA from 1 species
AAAGGAAUAGACGGGGGCCCGCACAAGCGGCGGAGCAUGCGGAUUAAUUCGAUGCAACGCGAAGAACCUUACCAAGGCUUGACAUACACCGGAAUACGGUAGAGAUAUCGUAGUCUUCGGACUGGUGUACAGGUGGUGCAUGGUUGUCGUCAGCUCGUGUCGUGAGAUGUUGGGUUAAGUCCCGCAACGAGCGCAACCCUUGUCCCAUGUUGCCAGCGGGUAAUGCCGGGGACUCAUGGGAGACUGCCGGGGUCAACUCGGAGGAAGGUGGGGAUGACGUCAAAUCAUCAUGCCCCUUAUGUCUUGGGCUUCACGCAUGCUACAAUGGCCGGUACAACGGGUUGCAAUACUGUAAAGUGGAGCGAAUCCCUAAAAGCCGGUCUCAGUUCGGAUUGGGGUCUGCAACUCGACCCCAUGAAGUCGGAGUCGCUAGUAAUCGCAGAUCAGCAACGCUGCGGUGAAUACGUUCCCGGGCCUUGUACACACCGCCCGU